GUUGGGUGCAGUAGUGCAUACCUGUAAUCCCAGCAACUUUGGAGACAUGAGGCAGGAGGAUCACAAGUUCGAGGCUAGUCUAGAUAACUUAGUGUUACCUUGUCUCAA
rnacentral:sRNA from 1 species